GACGAACGCUGGCGGCGUGCCUAACACAUGCAAGUCGAACGGAGUUAAUUGUUUAGAUCCCUUCGGGGUGACGAACUUUUAACUUAGUGGCGGACGGGUGAGUAACGCGUGAGCAACCUGCCUUUCAGAGGGGGACAACAGUUGGAAACGACUGCUAAUACCGCAUGAUAUACCGAGAAGGCAUCUUCAUGGUAUCAAAGAUUUAUCGCUGAAAGAUGGGCUCGCGUCCGAUUAGGUAGUUGGUGGGGUAACGGCCUACCAAGCCGACGAUCGGUAGCCGGACUGAGAGGUUGAUCGGCCACAUUGGGACUGAGACACGGCCCAG
rnacentral:rRNA from 1 species